rnacentral:misc_RNA from 1 species
AGGAGAAUCAUCUCUUUCUACAGUGUCUUUUGUACAUCUUGAGGAUCUUUCUAUUUUUCUGAGUUUUAUUUUUCUUUUUUAUUGAUUUGUAUUUGGUUUAAUUAUUCCAAAAAAAAUAGUUUCAUUGGUACUUACAGCAAUAUGGUGCAAAACGUUGAGGAGAAAAGAUGAAAUUUAGGCUCAUCAUACGAAAUUGCUUUAUGUUGAUUUUUUGCCAUACCACUUUCCUGUUUACGUACAAUUUUUAGUAUCAUACAACUUGAAGGGCCUAGAUAAUGAGCUCUUUCUGAGUUGUACCAUGAACAAAUUAAUUUUCCUUGUUUAGGCGUAUGGGAUCCUAUGUGUCUUGGACUUGCAGGUUGUCAUUUUAGGUUAUAAUGGUGGCAUUAAAUAUCCAGUUACUCGGACAAAACAGGGAUAUUGAUCUUUGAUUUACUCAAUGGAUGUAAGAACGGUUGGCAAUUAUGAUAUGCAGCAACAUAUGACAGAUGUAUGAAUCAACUGUGAGGACUGGUUGUAUAGAAGUGCUCGUAUUCACUGUGCUCGUUUGAUCUACCUCUUACUGUUUAAGGCAUCCUUACUCGUGGCUUAUCAUGUUCUUUUUCCCCCCAAUGUUGGGUGCAUUUUAGGAGGGUGGAUACUCUCAUGAUAUCCCAACUACGUUGCACCGGAGUAAAGCUGAUUGUCCAGUGCCAGAGGAAAUGGUUACUGUUAGUGUUGAUGGAUCUGUGCUGGAUCGAAUUGCUAAAAUUAUGUCAUAUCUUCGCCUUGGAUCUUCUGGGAAAGUUCUCAAGAAGAAAAAGAAGGAGAAAGAUGCAAAAGGAAAAUUUUCAUCUGUUAGCAAUGAAUGUAAUGAAGAGGGUAAGCAUUCAAAGCGUAAAGGGGCGGUCUCAAACAAUGGAACUGAAAGAGAGAUUUUGCCACCAUCGCCACCACCUCCCAAAAAAAGUCAGCCUGAUUCUCGAGAGAAGCAGAGUCUAGCAGUUGCCAGAGAAGAAGAGAAUGACAUAUUUGUGGGAGAUGGUGUUGACUAUCAUGUUCCUGGAAAAGACAUGAGCCAAAGCCCUAUUUCAGAGGACAUGGAAGAGUCUCCUCGAAACAAGGAUAGAAUUUCUUAUUUCAGUGAAUCUGUUUAUGGUCCAGUCCCUCCUUCUGGACCUUCUCAGGAGUGGCAAGACCUGAAUGGAUAUGAUGCAAUGCAAGCACAAGCACAAGCACAAGCAUUGGCAAAUGGCUACCAAGGAGAGUGGCAGGAUUACCAAUAUGCUGAGCAAUUGGCAUACCCUGAACAGUAUCUCCAGCAAACA